AUUGAACGCUGGCGGCAGGCCUAACACAUGCAAGUCGAACGAGUGGCGGACGGGUGAGUAAUGUCUGGGAAACUGCCUGAUGGAGGGGGAUAACUACUGGAAACGGUAGCUAAUACCGCAUACCAUCAGAUGUGCCCAGAUGGGAUUAGCUAGUUGGUGGGGUAACGGCUCACCAAGGCGACGAUCCCUACCUGGUCUUAGAGGAUGACCAGCCACACGGGAACGGAGACACGGGCCAGACUCCUACGGGAGGCAGCAGUGGGGAAUAUUGCACAAUGGGCGCAAGCCUGAUGCAGCCAUGCCGGGUGUGUGAAGAAGGCCUUCGGGUUGUAAAGCAAUUUCAGCGGGGAGGCGUUACUCGCAGAAGAAGCACCGGCUAACUCCGUGCCAGCAGCCGCGGUAAUAC
rnacentral:rRNA from 1 species